rnacentral:rRNA from 1 species
AAGCGUGCGCAGGCGGUUAUAUAAGACAGAUGUGAAAUACCCCGGGCUCAACCUGGGAACUGCAUUUGUGACUGUAUAGCUAGAGUACGGUAGAGGGGGAUGGAAUUCCGCGUGUAGCAGUGAAAUGCGUAGAUAUGCGGAGGAACACCGAUGGCGAAGGCAAUCCCCUGGACCUGUACUGACGCUCAUGCACGAAAGCGUGGGGAGCAAACAGGAUUAGAUACCCUUGU